CUGUAAUUUCAUAUUCCUCCACUUUUGGUCCCUCAUUUUACUUGCCAUGUGUGCAGAUUCUGCUGACAUGGUGAAAUGAGCGACCAACAGUGGAAGAAUUUGAAAUUACAG
rnacentral:pre_miRNA from 1 species